rnacentral:rRNA from 1 species
UACAGAGGGGGCAAGCGUUGUUCGGAAUUACUGGGCGUAAAGGGCGCGUAGGCGGCUUGGCAAGUGGAAGGUGAAAUCCCUCGGCUUAACCGAGGAACUGCCCUCCAAACUGCUUUGCUUGAGGCCGGGAGAGGUAAGUGGAAUUCCCAGUGUAGCGGUGAAAUGCGUAGAUAUUGGGAGGAACACCAGUGGCGAAGGCGGCUUACUGGACCGGUUCUGACGCUGAGGCGCGAAAGCGUGGGGAGCAACGGG